rnacentral:rRNA from 1 species
UACGGGGGGGGCAAGCGUUGUUCGGAAUUACUGGGCGUAAAGGGCUCGUAGGCGGCCAACUAAGUCGGACGUGAAAUCCCUCGGCUUAACCGGGGAACUGCGUCCGAUACUGGAUGGCUUGAGUUCGGGAGAGGGAUGCGGAAUUCCAGGUGUAGCGGUGAAAUGCGUAGAUAUUGGGAGGAACACCGGUGGCGAAGGCGGCCCCCUGGACCGGUACUGACGCUGAGGCGCGAAAGCGUGGGUAGCAAACGGG